GACGAACGCUGGCGGCGUGCUUAACACAUGCAAGUCGAACGGAAAGGCCCUGCUUUUGUGGGGUGCUCGAGUGGCGAACGGGUGAGUAACACGUGAGUAAACUGUACUUGACUUUGGGAUAACUUCAGGAAACUGGGGCUAAUAUCGGAUAGGAGCUCCUGAUGCGUGGUGGGGGAUGGAAAGAUUCGGCGGUUGGGGCUGGAAUAGCGGCUUAUCAGCUUGUUGGUGGGGUAGGGGCUUACCAAGCCUUUGACGGGUAGCCGGCCUGAGAGGGUGACCGGCCACAUUGGGACUGAGAUACGGCCCAGACUCCUACGGGAGGCAGCAGUGGGGAAUAUUGCACAAUGGGCGGAAGCCUGAUGCAGCGACGCCGCGUGCGGGAUGACGGCCUUCGGGUUGUAAACCGCUUUCGCAGGUGACGAAGCGUGAGUGACGGUAAUGGGUAAAGAAGCACCGGCUAACUACGUG
rnacentral:rRNA from 1 species